rnacentral:ncRNA from 1 species
UUCACGGAGAGUUUGAUCCUGGCUCAGGAUGAACGCUGGCGGCGUGCUUAACACAUGCAAGUCGAACGGUGAAGCAGAGCUUGCUCUGUGGAUCAGUGGCGAACGGGUGAGUAACACGUGAGCAAUCUGCCCCUGACUCUGGGAUAAGCGCUGGAAACGGCGUCUAAUACCGGAUACGAGCUGCGAAGGCAUCUUCAGCAGCU